GGCUGGGUCCGAUGGUAGUGGGUUAUCAGAAUUGAUUAGUAUUAGUGUCACUAAAGUUGGUAUACAACCUCCCACUGCUAAAUUUGACUGGCUUAAA
rnacentral:Y_RNA from 1 species